AUUAUUUCCUUGAGAUAUAUUAGCUCUUGAAUGGAAAAGUGAAAAUUAUUUUUCGUUAUAGUAGAAAAUUUAGCCGAAAGAUGUAAAAUUUUGAAAAAUGUCAAAAAUAAAGAGAAAUAAAAUGUUUUUUGGCACGAAACUUGGACAAAUCGCCUUCGGCAAUUUGCCAGCGUAUUCCUCUCGAAAAAUUACAUCAAAUCAAAAAAAAAAUCACCUCGAUCGGAUGACCGAGCUAAUAGUUACGACCUCUCGAAGUUUUUUAAUCACUAAUUACAUUGCUACACGUGGUGGGCCUUGCAAAAUGCACCCUGCUUGGGCUUGGGCCCUAAAAGUUGUGAAAAAUAUGUGCCCAUCGUUUCUCUUCUUUACCAAUUAGGUCUAUAUACAAUAAAAGUGACGCCUUGCUGCUUCUAUUUCCUUUUCUGUGAUUCUUCAAUCUUCUCCGUGCCUUCCUUCUGCACAAAAUCACAGGAUGAUACUUAUGAUGGCUAUGCAGGAGAAUGAUUUGGAAAAUUGGACAUUGGAAUAAGAUUGUGGAUCACUCCUUGCUGCAAUUCAGAAAACACAACGGUGAAUUAUUAUAUCCCAUCUCUCUUACUCACAGCAUUGAACCUAAUACAAACUAAUUGCUGCGCUGGCCAAUUCUAAUCUGCUGUAAACAAAAAAACAUAACGCCAAUACAGGUGGACUGUCAACCUAGUUUGGGACAAACUAAUGCUCAUAUACGGAUAUUGGACUAGGUGGAUGCCCUUACUGGAUUCCAAAUGGCGAACUACAUGAAUCCUAAAGUAGUCAACAUGUUCAAAAGAAUGAACUUCAUGCUUGGAAUAGGACUAGAAAAGAAUCAGUAGGGUAUUGCGGAGCUCCUAGACUUCAAAGGUCAGAAGACUCGAAGUUUAGAAUAUUCUGAAGAAAAAGACGAGGGCAAACCAAAGUGCAAGACUCUAAAAGACGUGUUCGUCUAGGAGUACAAGUCCUACUCUAGGGAGCCCAAACCUGUUAAUGUAGCUAGGACUCUCUUAUCAGCAUUUGAGAUUUUCAAGAACCUGAUCAUCGAAAGAAUGAUCAAGCUGAGUAUCAACGAAGUCCGAGAGAAUGUCAUUACCAAAAUAGAAGACCUGAAGCUAGAAGAGUUCACUGCUCAAUAGAAAAAAAUAUUAUUGAUGUUUCUUAUGAUGAUUAUCUAAUAACGUCCGACAUUUAUGAGGACGAUGUUUCUUUUUUCUUUUUAAGAUUAAUGAUAUAAAUAAUUUUGCUUACUUGUGUGA